ACGGGGAGCAGCAGGCGCGAAACCUUUACACUGCACGCCAGUGCGAUAAGGGAAUCCCAAGUGCGCAGGCAUAGAGCCUGCGCUUUUGUACACCGUAGGGAGGUGUACGAAUAAGGGCUGGGCAAGACCGGUGCCAGCCGCCGCGGUAAUACCGGCAGCCCGAGUGAUGGCCGAUCUUAUUGGGCCUAAAGCGUCCGUAGCUGGCCGCACAAGUCUAUCGGAAAAUCCACCCGCCCAACGGAUGGGCGUCCGGUGGAAACUGUGUGGCUUGGGACCGGAAGGCGCGACGGGUACGUCCGGGGUAGGAGUGAAAUCCCGUAAUCCUGGACGGACCGCCGAUGGCGAAAGCACGUCGCGAGGACGGAUCCGACAGUGAGGGACGAAAGCCAGGGUCUCGAACCGGAUUAGAUACCCGGGUAGUCCUGGCCGUAAACAAUGCCUGCUAGGUGUGGCUCCCGCUACGAGCGGGUGCUGUGCCGUAGGGAAGCCGCUAAGCAGGCCGCCUGGGAAGUACGUCCGCAAGGAUGAAACUCAAAGGAAUUGACGG
rnacentral:rRNA from 1 species